GACGUAGGGGGCGAGCGUUGUCCGGAUUUAUUGGGCGUAAAGCGCGCGUAGGCGGCUCGGAAAGUCGAAUGUGAAAAUCCGGGGCUUAACCCCGGACCUGCAUCCGAUACUCUCGGGCCAGAGGCAGACAGGGGAGAGCGGAAUUCCUGGUGUAGCGGUGAAAUGCGCAGAUAUCAGGAGGAACACCGGUGGCGAAAGCGGCUUCCUGGUCCAGCACCGACGUUCAGGCACGAAAGCGUGGGGAGCAAACAGG
rnacentral:rRNA from 1 species